CUUCAAAUCGUGACCCAACAACGUGAUCCAAGUUGCAACCCAAGAUCCAUCAAUCGUUAGUGUGUACUCUCUCAUCUAUAUCUUGUUCCGUACUCUAGUCGCCCAGGUGGAGCAAUCAUGUUGCUCGAGCAUCCUUGAUCCUCAAAUCAACGGCCAUCCUUGUUUUUUUGUUGAAAAUUGUACAGAUUUGGUACAAUUAUGGAGCUGGCAACCUUAUCUUUUAGGGUGGAGAUUUUGAAUUUCGAAUGUGAAAAUUCAUCUUGUUUCCCCAUUUCAAAAUCUACCCCAAUUUUUCAUCUAUAAAUAGCUUUUUCUUCUUCACUGUCUAAGUUGUAUUUGGUUGGAAAAAAAGGUUGCAAGAAAUUUGGGAAAAAUAAUUGGCAAUAACUUGUUGGAGAAAAGAGAUAGAAUAUAACAGAGUUAUAAGCUUAUAUAAAAAAAAUUGAUUUAGAUAAUCUAGGAAAUCUUUUUGGUGAGAACUCUUUAAGUAACUACUCUGAAAGCUUUCAUUCAAGAUUUUUACGUUGAAGCUCGAGUUCCGGGGAAUGUUUGUUCAAUAUAUUCGCCCUAGUUUCAUGGUUUCACUCCAUUAUUUUUAGAAUACAAGGUCUUGGAAAGUACUUCUCCAGCUCGUCGUCUCGAUUCGCUGCCCGGAAAAAGGUAACAUUUUCUCGUUUAUAACAUUCUUCCCAUCUCUUUUUCUAUUUUGAUAUGAUUCUUCCGAUGUCGAAAAGUCUUGCUAUGUGGCUGUCCUAUGUAUUCUGUUUAAACAUCGCUAGUGAUGUUUUAGUUUGAACGUCUAAAUCAGCUCGAUGAUUGGCUCUUCUGUGCUAUAUUGUGUUUUCUUUCAGAUUUUUCAAGUAUUUGCUGAUUACAUGCUGUUGCAAUCUGCUUUCUUAUUCAAGUUUGGUUUCUAUUUAGAAGGGAUUUAAUUCUCAUUUUUGCUUAAACCUUUUUAGCCUAUUGGUCGCUACUUUAUCUCACUCUUCUGGUUUAUCUAAAAUAAGCUACCAUUGUUGUUAUGUUGUGGCUGUCUUUUUUUUAAAUAAUCAACUGAAUCUUAACAAUCUUCAAGUGUAACCUUACUUUCUCAUCUUCAAAGUUACCACAAAAUGAGUCUUAAUGCUUUGUGUCGUUACAGAUUUUUUCAAACAAUUCAUGUUUUUAUUUAUAUGAGUAGUGGAAGUAUAUGCUUGAUAAAAUUUAAAAUUUUGUUUGAAUAUUGUGAUGAAAUAAUUCUUGUUUUUCUCCUGAAUAUUGCGGCCAUGACUUAAGCAUUAUCUAAAGUGAUUUUAUCUUUCAUGGUAGUUAGAAUUCACAUAAUAAUCUGCCCUCUUAUUUAGUUUUCUAUGUUAAUCUCUUCUGGUAAAUUUCAUGUUAGUUUUGUUAGUUAGUGUUGAUAACUUUAUCAAGGGCACAGUACAUGAAUACAUUCUCCAGUACUUCCAGUUUGGCUCAAAAAUGGAUAUUGACACAUGUGAUUAUUUUUUCUUUCGAUUUUCUUUAAGUUGUACUCUUUUUCUCCAUUUUGCUAUUUCUAUGUUGGUUAUUAAUUAACAUACUAUUAAUCUUAAGUGACUACAAUGUAUAUCUUAUUUAUUUUAUUUUCUUUAUAUAUUAUUUGUUUAUUUAUUUUCUUCUGUAAAGGUUGUUGUCCAGUAUGCUCCUGUAUGAUUCCCUUUAGUGGGAUUGUUCGUUAGUAUGCAUCUUUUAAAAGAUGUGUAUUUUCCAUUAAGUUAGUUUGUUCUUCUUGCAUUUAUGUUAGUUGGAUUAUAUAUUAACUCCUUUCAUUUACUUUGUGGCAUGUGAAAUCCUCUUGGGUUUGCCAUGAACUCUUAUCUCCUUCUCUUGCAUUUUGGAUGAGCCAUAAAGGCUUAAAUUUCCUUAUCGAGACAAGCCCCUUUAAUACCGACGAACAGGUUUCAAAAAUGAAGAAUUCGAAGCAAGUUGAAGAGUUGAAGAAGUUGGGAUUAGAAGACCCCAACUCAUUUUUUCUGAUUUUGUAUUUUUGUUUGUAAUGGGCCUAAGCCAUUGUCGUCUUUUACUUUUCUGUAUUUACCUUGUAUUAUUAUUUGCUUGGUCUGAGCAGGUACGAAAGGAAGAAAAAUGGGUCAAAAACCCAAAAUAGGUGGGUCCAAAAACCGGUCAAGGCGAACAUAACCCGGAUUUGGGACCAAAUCUCUUUCCCCCUCUCUUAUUUCUUGUUUCUUAUUUAAUUUAUUCGUUAAUUAGUUUUAAGUCAAUAAACUUCCAAAUCCCCACAAACGCCGUUUUUUUAAACAACUUAAAAGAAAAUCAAGUUUAAGUAGUUUUCAAAAUAAUUUCUUCAAGUUAGGUAUUUCACUUAGUUAAAAGUUAGACAUUAAAUUUUAAACAACUCUAAAAAUAUUUUUAUCGCAAUUUUAAGUCUUAGCCAAACUAAAUUAGUUGUUGGAAAACCACGUGUUAGCGGAAGUCUUAGGUGCUUUCAAGACCUUUCUAAAACAUUAAUAUGAAUCCCCUAACCCUUUAAAUUAUUUUAAAAUCAAUUUAAUCUGUUUAAGUCUUUUGAAAAUAAAGGUUUUCUUAAUUUUCUCAAAAUUAAGUGCAAAAUUAAGUGGCGACUCUAAUAAGUCAUAAAUUCUUACAAAAUAAAUAAACAAACAAAUAAAUAUUUUUCUGAAAUCGAGUAAAACAAAUCAUAUUUCCUAAAACAGUGAAAUAUAUAUCCUAAAUUCUAUGUCUAAACAUAUGGUGAUAUUUCACCCAAAUUUUAACCCAAAUAAUAUUUGCCAGAAAUAUAUGGAAACCUAUGGCCAAACACUAGCUAGAUUUUAUGAAACCCUUAUCUAGGUGGUCUUUCGCUUCUCUUUCAAAUCCUUAAGCUCCGCAAGAGUCAUUUUGUAAGAAGGAAUAGAAAUAGGUUGAGUAUUCGGAAGAAGAUCCAUUUCAAAGUCAAUUUCCCAUUUGGGAGGAACUUCGAGAAGAUCUCCCCGAAAUACUUCUAGGAAUUUAUUAACCAUAUGAACUAACUUAAGAGUUGGUGUUUCGGAGUUUGAAUUCCUAACUCGAACGAAAUGAUAGAAAUAAAGAUAAGAGAUCAUCAAUCUGGCCUUAAGGUAAGAAAUGGAUCGACCCGUGGGUGUUGUCCUACUACCCUUCAAUUCUAAGAUUUGCUCAUUUAAAAACAUAAAACUAACGAUCGUGGUUCAACAAUCGACUAAGGUAUAAUAGGAAUGUAACCAAACCAUGCCUAGAAUAAUAUAAAAGUCUACCAUUUCUAACUCUACAAGGUCUACUAAGGUGACUUUCUAUAAAACUAUGAUGGGGAAAUUUCUAUAUAUUCGUCUAGCUAUUACUGGGUCACCAACUAGAGUAGAGUCUGAGAAGGUUUCAGAAAGAUUUUAUGGACUGAAAUCGAAGUUUACUACUAUAUAAGGGGUUAUGAAGGAAAAGGUAGCCCCCAGAUCUAACAAAGAAUAAACAUCUAAAUGAAAGACUUGCAACGUAAUAGUAUCCACAUCAGGUGAAUCUUAUUGAUCCCGGCAAGCCUGGAGAGCAUACAACCUGUUCUGGAGCAGGCCUCCAGCUGUAGGAGAUUUAGUACCCUACUUAUGUGGGUGAGCUGCUGGUGCUAUUGAAGUUGUAGAUUGAGCCCUACUAUUAUUACCUCCUUGUACCUGUUUAGAAGAAGAGAAACCCCUCAAUCUUUGACCACUCUGACCACACUUAAAACAUCCAUCCUUUCCUACAAGCCACUCGCCUGGAUGAUUCUUACCACACUUUGGACAAGUUUGGUAGUAACUGAAACACUUUCAUGAGAAUUAGAGCCUGAUUCCCUAUCUUUAUGGUCCUAUCGAAAACUUGAGGAUGGAACACUAGCUGAUGAAGGUGUUAAGGCUGAAGAAUUCUACUGAAAUUGCGAGCGAAUUCUACCACCCGAUUUCUAUUGUGAGUACUCAUAGUUUCCUAUCCUAGACUUCGUAUUAUCCUUAGCCUUCUCCCUAAGCUUAUCUCCCUCAACCUACUGAGCAUGAGACAUGAUCUUACUGAUGUUCAUAUAAUCCAACAAUAUAUCAUUUCGGCACUCUGUUUUUCACCAAGUCGUAUACCCCAAAUAGGAACUUACUUAUUUGCGCCUUGGAAUCGACAACCAUAUGUAGGUGUGGGAGUAAAUACCAAAAAAUCAAACCGAACCAAAAUUUUUUGGUUUUUUCGAUGUCAAUUCUUCGGUGUUUCAGUUCGGUGUUGGUUUCUUGUUUGAAACUUUGGUUCUUCGAUUUGGAGUUUGGUCCAAGGGUCCCAAAACUAUGGUGCACCGAAGAUCUGAAGUUUCAUUUUAUAAAUUUUAUAAUUUUUAAAUUAUAUUACAUAAUUAAUAAUGCUUAUAUAUUUUUGAAUUUGACACAAAAUAUUUACAUUUUAAAAAUGAAUUUACAACACUAGAUAGUAAGUCAGUAACUAAAAUUAAAAUCACUAAAUAUAAUUGUAAAGUGUAAAACCUAAUUCCUAAAGCCCCAAAUAUUCAAAACUUUCUUCAGCUUUCUCGUCUCAAAGACUUAUACUGAGAAGCGCCGACCGCCUUCUCAUCUUCUCGUCUUCAAUAGUUAAUCUUCUCGCCUUAGAAGCUUAGACCAUCGUUGUCCACCGACGUCGAAAAAUGGUUUAUGGUAAGACAUUGAUGAUGAACUAUGAAGGAGACUUGGUUUCGGUCGUUGAUGUUUUUUGAAGAAGUCUUGGAUCCUUUGAUCAUCCAAGAAGGGUAGGUCCGCCUUUUCCGAGGACGUUGCCACUAUCUAGAUUGUGGAGUUGUUAUGAGUUUAAGACUCUUUCUUUUAAUUCCUUUCAAUUAAGUACUAUACAUUAGUAUCACCUAUAUGUGGUCUUGUUGGAUCGAUGUAUGGGCACGACCAAAAUUUGAUACACUCUUAGUAGAUGGUUUUUAGAUGAGAUGACUAUUAUGACUUUGUUA